rnacentral:lncRNA from 1 species
CAGCCUCAGAUCUCUCAAUCCUCAUUUUAUCUAAAGACUAUCCUUCUUCAAAAUCAUGCUUAGCUGAACUUUCUGACAUCAUGGAUCGCAAGCGCAAGCCGACUGACAAACAUAUUGUUCUUCCCAUCUUUUACCAUGUUGAUCCUUCUGUUGGUGCAAGAGGCAGCAACAGGCUGUUUUGUAUCUUGCUUGAAUAGCAAGCCUCGAGCCUUGGUGAAGAAACAAACUCAGAAGCAGAAAAACAGAAAAUGAAACUAGCUAGUGAAAUAACAGAAAAGAGAGAAGAAGAUUGAAUGAAAAAUGAGCUGGUUUCUUUCAUUAACACAUCAACAAGGCAUUAAGCCAUUACAUAUAUUAGUCAACAAGUAAAACAAACAAGUAAUCACCUAAUAACAUACCUAACACCACUAAAUUGCCUAGUAACUUGGUAAACUUGAUUGAAAAACAAAAACUUCUACCUAAACUUGUCAUUCAGCACCUAAUUACAUCAAAAUGCAGCUACCAACUAAGUUUGAUCCUAACUAAAUACAAAACAUUCAAUUAAGGAAACUAAAUGGAUAGCUUCAGCUUGCUGCACCAAUUUUGCUGUUGAAGCACGUUCCUUGCAUGGCCACCUUUGCUGCUACAUGGGAGCUGACUUCAACACUCCUCCUCAGCUUCUAUGCAGCAGACUCCUAGCUCCCUCUUCAGGCUUAGAAAUCUUGAUACACCAAGAGGCUUUGUGAAGAUAUCAGCAAUCUGAUUUUUAGAACUGCAAUGGAUUAGCUCGAUCUCUCGAGCUUGUUCCAUUUCUCUUAUCACAUGGAGUUUGAUGUUGAAAUGUUUUGUCCUGCCAUGGAAGACAGGAUUUUUAGCAAUAGCAACUGCUGACUUGUUGUCACAAUGUAUCACAGUUGCUUCAUUCUACUGUAGAUUCAAGUCGCUCAAAAUUUUUCUCAGCCACAUAGCUUGAUUAACAGCAUUGGCAGCUGCUACAUACUCUGCUUCUGCUGUCGAUUGAGCCACCAUUGUUUGUUUUCUUGAGCUCCAACAAAUCAUAGCUGAGCCAAGUGUAAAAGCAUAGCCAGAAGUGCUCUUCAUGUCAUCCUUUGAACCGGCCCAAUCGCUAUCAGUGUAGCCAAUCAGUUUCAACUCUUCAGCCUUUCUGAACUGCAUUCCAUGGUUUAAGGUACCUUUGAUGUAUCUUAGCACCCUUUUCCCAGCCUUGUAAUGUUGCUGGUUACAGCAGUGCAUGAACCUUGAUAGCAUGCUCACAGCAAACAGAAUGUCAGGUCUUGUUGCUGUCAAAUACAAUAAACACCCAACAAGGCUUCUGUAAUCUGUUUCACAGACAGAUUCAUGUUCCUCCUGGCUCGAUAGCUUUAUGCCAAUAGCCAUUGGUGUGCUCACUGGUUUACAAUUCUCCAUUGAGAAUUUAACCAGCACUUUCAAGGUAAAUGUCUUUUGUUUCAAGAAAAUUUCUCCUUCUACUUGAUUGACUUCCAUUCCUAGGAAAUAUGUCAUCAAUCCCAGGUCUGACAUCUCAAACAUUUCCUUCAUUCUUGCUUUGAAAUCAGCCAUCAUAAACUUGUCUCCUCCAGUCACUAGAAGAUCAUCAACAUAUAGUGACACAAUAAGCUGUGUUUCAGCUCCAUUCCUCUUAACAUAGAGUGUUGGCUCACUAGCACUCCUUUCAAAUCCUAAACUGACCAAGUAUGAGUCAAUUCGAGCAUACCAGGCUCGAGGGGCCUGUUUUAGGCCAUACAAGGCCUUUCUUAGCCUAUACACCAAAUGUUCCUUACCAGGCACUAUAAAACCUGGGGGUUGCUCGAUGUAUAUCUCCUCUUCUAGGAAUCCAUUGAGGAAUGCAGACUUGACAUCCAUUUGGUGGAUUGUCCACUGGUUCUGAGCAGCAACUGCAAUCAGCAAUCUGAUUGUAUCGAGUCUGGCUACUGGAGCAAAUGUUUCCAUGUAGUCCAGACCAUACCUUUGACUGAAGCCCUUUACAACUAGCCUGGCCUUUAACUUGUUUAAACUUCCAUCCGCAUUGUGCUUCACUCGAUAGACCCAUUUUACAUUGAUAGUCUUUCUGUUGGCAGGCUUUUUAACCAACUCCCAUGUCUGAUUCUUUACAAUCAUGUUGAUUUCAUCAACCAUAGCUUGUUUCCAACCUUCAUCUGCCUCAGCCUCUUCAAAACUGCUAGGUUCUGCUAUUGCAACCUGUGCCCUUUCAUAAAUAUCUUUUAGGGGCCUUGUGCCUCUCACAGGCACAUCAUCAACAUCCAUUUCAGGUCAUAGCUGCUCAAGUUCAGCUUGAUUAGGCACUAGGUCUUCUGAAAUUGCUUCUGGCUCAUUUUUCUCCCAAUUCCAGCAGGCUUUUUCAUCAAAGAUGACAUCUCUGCUCACCUGGACUUUGUUUGUCAAGGGAUCCAGAACCCUGUAGCCCUUUUUGACUGAGCUGUAGCCUACUAGAACACCUGGUUGAGCCCUUUUAGAGAGCUUGUCUCUCUUUGCUGCUGGUAUUUGUGCAUAACACAAGCAACCAAACACCUUCAGAUGUGCCAGGGAAGGCUUGAAACUGAACCAAGCCUCGAAGGGUGUCUCAGAUGCAAGAGCUUUGGUAGGAAGCCUGUUCUGAAGGUAAACAGCAGUGUUUACUGCCUCAGCCCACAUGGUCUUGGGCAGUUUCUUUUCAAACAGGAGACAUCUGGCCAUAUCCAUCAGACUUCUAUUCUUUCUUUCAGCUACCCCAUUCUGCUGAGGUGUGUAGACAUUUGUAAGCUGAUGUUUGAUACCAGCAUCAUUGCAAAUGGCUUGAAACUGAGCUGAAGUGUACUCAGUGCCAUUGUCAGUCCUUAUCGAUUUCAGCUUGCAACCUGUUUCUGUUUCUACAGCAUUUUUAAACUUCACAAACACUUGAGCUACCUCAGACUUGUGUUUUAAAAAGAAAAUCCAGCAAAACCUUGUAAGAUCAUCAAUAAAGAGGAUGAAAUACCUAUUUUUGCUGAGUGAUUCAGUCCUCAUCGGGCCACAUACAUCAGAGUGCACCAGCUGCAGUCUUUCAGUAGCUCUCCAAGCUGAAUUUGUAGGAAAUGGCAGUCUUGCCUGUUUCCCCAUUUGGCAAACUUCACACACAUCAUCAUGCUCCACUGAGCUGGUGAAGUUCUCUGCCAAGCCCUCUUUGGCCAAUCGAGCCAUUGAUCUGAAGUUGGCAUGUCCAAGCCUUUGAUGCCAAAGCUUGGAGUCUUCAACAGAGGCUGUGUAUGCUGAGUUUGAGUCAUUUGCCCAGUGAACCUCAAAGCAUUUAUCAGUCAUUAUGACUGUCAUAAGGCUUGAUCCACUUGGAUCAGUAAUGUGGCAUUGUUUAUCCUUGAACACAACAGAAUAACCUUUCUCGAGCAGUUGAGCUAUGCUGAGAAGGUUUCUGUCAAUCUCUGGCACUAACAGCACAUUUGGAAUGAUCUUGUUGCCUGUGGGAGUACAUAUCAGCACUUCUCCUCUUCCUUCAGCCCUUAUAAACUGACCAUUUCCAACCUUGACCUUGGUUUUAUAACUUCUGUCCUAGGUUUUAAACAAGGAGGCAUCUGGUGACAUGUGGUUAGUGCAACCACUGUCCAGCAACCAGCCUUUUGAGCAUUUCUUCUCAGCAGCUAAACAGGAAACAGCAAAGACCUGUUCUUCUUGGUCACUACUGUCCUCAGCCACUCGAGCUUCAACUUUUGACUGCUGAAAUUGAUUCUGCCUUGGCUUACUUCUGUUUUUACAGACCCUUUCAACAUGGCCCUUCUUCUUACAGUGUUGGCAUACUGCAUCUGGCCUAAACCAGCAUCUGUCUUCUGGAUGGCCAGGCUUCUUGCAAUAUCUGCAGGGCUGGUCAUUGCUCCUUGCAGCAUCAGGCUUAGGCCUAUUUUUCCAAGGCUUUUUGCCUCUUUGAGCAUUGGUGCUCGAGGCUUCUCUGGCCUUGGCUUGAAAUGCACCUUCUUGGUGAUCUUCAGCUCUGCUAGCUCUCCUUUGUUCCUGAGCAUAGAAGGUGUUGAUUAACUCAGUCAAAGAGAUGCUAGCAAGGUCUCUUGAGUCCUCUAGGGAGGAUAUCUUGGCCUCAUAUCUCUCAGGCAAAGUGGAGAGGACUUUCUCCACAAUUCUUGCCUCAUCGAAGUGCUCACCUAGGAGCCUUAUACUGUUAACCACUGCCAUAAUUCUAUCUGAAUACUGCUUCACUAUUUCUUCUUCCUUCAUUUUCAAAUUCUCGAAAUCCCUUCUCAAGUUUAACAGCUGCUGUUGCCUUGUUCUCUCAGUGCCUUGAAACUCCUCAUUAAGCUUAUCCCAAGCCUGUUUUGGAGUCUCACAGGCCAUGAUUCUGGUGAAGAUGACAUCUGACACACAGUUCUGGAUGCAGGACAUGGCUUUGUGCCUUUUGGUCCUCUCAUCAGCAUGUUGCCUAAUCUGAGCUACUGUGGGAUUAGCCCUCAGUGGUGCUGGCUCAGUAUCUGUGUUGACAACUUCCCACAGAUCGAAGGCCUGUAGGUAAGUCUUCAUCUUGACCAGCCAUAUGUGAAAGCCUUCUCCAUUGAAGACUGGUGGGGCUGCUGGUGAAAAUCCUGAAGAAGCCAUCAGGUUCCUUGAUUUGAGGCAACAGGUCCACUAAGACAAGAGCUCUCGAUACCAAUUUUUGGUGCAAGAGGCAGCAACAGGCUGUUUUGUAUCUUGCUUGAAUAGCAAGCCUCGAGCCUUGGUGAAGAAACAAACUCGGAAGCAGAAAAACAGAAAAUGAAACUAGCUAGUGAAAUAACAGAAAAGAGAGAAGAAGAUUGAAUGAAAAAUGAGUUGGUUUCUUUCAUUAACACAUCAACAAGGCAUUAAGCCAUUACAUAUAUUAGUCAACAAGUAAAACAAACAAGUAAUCACCUAAUAACAUACCUAACACCACUAAAUUGCCUAGUAACUUGGUAAACUUGAUUGAAAAACAAAAACUUCUACCUAAACUUGUCAUUCAGCACCUAAUUACAUCAAAAUGCAGCUACCAACUAAGUUUGAUCCUAACUAAAUACAAAACAUUCAAUUAAGGAAACUAAAUGGAUAGCUUCAGCUUGCUGCACCAAUUUUGCUGUUGAAGCACGUUCCUUGCAUGGCCACCUUUGCUGCUACAUGGGAGCUGACUUCAACACCUUCUGAUGUGCGAAAUAUUGGUGGGACUUUUAAGACAUCCUUCGAAGAGCAUGAAUCAAAGAGACCAAUUGAAGACGUGAAGCGAUGGAAAGCCGCCUUCGCUGAAAUCGGAGCAUCAAAAGGGUGGCAUAUAGAAGGAGGCAAAUCC